UACGUAUGGGGCGAGCGUUGUUCAGAAUUAUUGGGUGUAAAGGGCGUCUAGGCGGGAGAUUAAGUUAGAUGUGAAAGGCGUGGGCUUAACCCACGAAUUGCAUCUAAAACUGGUUUUCUUGAGUUCGGGAGAGGAGAGCGGAAUUCUUGGUGUAGCGGUGAAAUGCGUAGAUAUCAAGAAGAACACCAGUGGCGAAGGCGGCUCUCUGGACUAGAACUGACGCUGAAGCGCGAAAGCGUGGGUAGCGAACGGGAUUAGAUACCCCGGUAGUCCCUGA
rnacentral:rRNA from 1 species